GAUGAACGCUGGCGGCGUGCCUAAUACAUGCGAGUCGAGCGAACAGACGAGGAGCUUGCUCCUCUGACGUUAGCGGCGGACGGGUGAGUAACACGUGGAUAACCUACCUAUAAGACUGGGAUAACUUCGGGAAACCGGAGCUAAUACCGGAUAAUAUAUUGAACCGCAUGGUUCAAUAGUGAAAGACGGUUUUGCUGUCACUUAUAGAUGGAUCCGCGCCGCAUUAGCUAGUUGGUAAGGUAACGGCUUACCAAGGCAACGAUGCGUAGCCGACCUGAGAGGGUGAUCGGCCACACUGGAACUGAGACACGGUCCAGACUCCUACGGGAGGCAGCAGUAGGGAAUCUUCCGCAAUGGGCGAAAGCCUGACGGAGCAACGCCGCGUGAGUGAUGAAGGUCUUCGGAUCGUAAAACUCUGUUAUUAGGGAAGAACAAAUGUGAAAGUAACUAUGCACGUCUUGACGGUACCUAAUCAGAAAGCCACGGCUAACUACGUG
rnacentral:rRNA from 1 species